CGACCGGCGCACGGGUGAGUAACACGUAUGGAACCUGCCCUAUGCAGGGGGAUAAGCGGAAGAAAUUCCGUCUAAUACCGCAUAACACCUUUAGGAGACAUCUUCUUGGGGUCAAAGGAGGCGACUCCGGCAUAGGAUGGCCAUGCGUCGCAUUAGCUAGUCGGCGGGGUAACGGCCCACCGAGGCGACGAUGCGUAGGGGUUCUGAGAGGAAGGUCCCCCACAUUGGAACUGAGACACGGACCAAACUCCUACGGGAGGCAGCAG
rnacentral:rRNA from 1 species